ensembl:lncRNA
GAGAUGCUGUGGGACGACCUCAAGAGAGCCGUUCACACCAGACAUCCUAAGAAUUUGAACUGAACUGAAACAGUUUUGUAAAGAGGACAUUCCUCCUGACUGUUGCGCCGGUCUGAUCUGCAACUACAGAAAACAUUUGGUUGAUGUUGUUGCUGCCAAAGGAGGGUCAACCAGUUAUUAAAUCCAAGGGUUCACCUACUUUUCCCACCCUGCACUGUGAAUGUUUACACGCUGUGUUACACAGAGACAUGAAAACGUAUCGUUUUAAGUGUGUUAUUAGUUUAAGUAGACUAUGUUUGUGAUAGGUGAGAAUUGUCUUUUAAUUGAAUGAUUAGAAUAUUCCCUCCUGAAACAUAUAAUUGUAUGGAAUUGAUUAGAAUGUUUGAAAUCAUAAUCAAUAAAUGUGUAGUCCUAGUCAGAAUUAGGGUAAAACAAUAUGUCUUUAUGGUAUUUUAAACACAGACUGUCUGAGCUUGGUGCCGACCUGACUAGAGAUUUGGGAGAGAAUGGGGAGUACGUCUCGAGGACAAGGUCACUAUCUCUGUCGGCUGGGAAGUGAGACAGACAGUGUGUGUAGCAGGACAAGGUCACUAUCUCCGUCGGCUGGGAAGUGAGACAGACAGUGUGUGUAGCAGGACAAGGUCACUAUCUCCGUCGGCUAGGUAGUGAGACAGACAGUGUAGCAGGACAAGGUCACUAUCUCUGUCGGCUGGGAAGUGAGACAGACAGUGUGUGUAGCAGGACAAGGUCACUAUCUCUGUCGGCUGGGUAGUGAGACAGACAGUGUUGCAGGACAUGUGUGUGAGUAUGUUUGUGUGUGUGUGUGUGUGUAUGUUUGUAUGUGUGUGCGUAUGUGUGUGCGUAUGUGUGUGCGUAUGUGUGUGUGUGUAUGUGUGUGUGUAUGUUUGUGCGUAUGGUUGUGUGUAUGUUUGUGCUUAUGGUUGUGCGUAUGUUUGUGUGUAUGUGUGUGUGUAUGGUUGUGUGUAUGUGUGUGUGUGUGUGUGUGUGUGUGUGUGUGUGUGUGUGUGUGUGUGUGUAUGUGUUGUGUGUGUGUGUGUGUAUUGUUGUGUGUGUGUGUGUAUGGUUGUGUGUGUGUGUGUGUGUGUGUAUGUGUGUGUGUGUAUGGUUGUGUGUGUGUGUGUGUGUGAGAAGUCAGUAUAAAUUAAUUGUUUUGUAUUCUUGACUCCAGAACGUUCCGUGAAUAAACCUUUUUGACCA